rnacentral:rRNA from 1 species
GGUUAAGCGACUAAGCGUACACGGUGGAUGCCCUGGCAGUCAGAGGCGAUGAAGGACGUGCUAAUCUGCGAUAAGCGUCGGUAAGGUGAUAUGAACCGUUAUAACCGGCGAUUUCCGAAUGGGGAAACCCAGUGUGAUUCGUCACACUAUCAUUAACUGAAUCCAUAGGUUAAUGAGGCGAACCGGGGGAACUGAAACAUCUAAGUACCCCGAGGAAAAGAAAUCAACCGAGAUUCCCCCAGUAGCGGCGAGCGAACGGGGAGGAGCCCAGAGCCUGAAUCAGUGUGUGUGUUAGUGGAAGCGUCUGGAAAGGCGCGCGAUACAGGGUGACAGCCCCGUACACAAAAAUGCACAUAUUGUGAGCUCGAUGAGUAGGGCGGGACACGUGGUAUCCUGUCUGAAUAUGGGGGGACCAUCCUCCAAGGCUAAAUACUCCUGACUGACCGAUAGUGAACCAGUACCGUGAGGGAAAGGCGAAAAGAACCCCGGCGAGGGGAGUGAAAAAGAACCUGAAACCGUGUACGUACAAGCAGUGGGAGCACGCUUAGGCGUGUGACUGCGUACCUUUUGUAUAAUGGGUCAGCGACUUAUAUUCUGUAGCAAGGUUAACCGAAUAGGGGAGCCGAAGGGAAACCGAGUCUUAACUGGGCGUUAAGUUGCAGGGUAUAGACCCGAAACCCGGUGAUCUAGCCAUGGGCAGGUUGAAGGUUGGGUAACACUAACUGGAGGACCGAACCGACUAAUGUUGAAAAAUUAGCGGAUGACUUGUGGCUGGGGGUGAAAGGCCAAUCAAACCGGGAGAUAGCUGGUUCUCCCCGAAAGCUAUUUAGGUAGCGCCUCGUGAAUUCAUCUCCGGGGGUAGAGCACUGUUUCGGCAAGGGGGUCAUCCCGACUUACCAACCCGAUGCAAACUGCGAAUACCGGAGAAUGUUAUCACGGGAGACACACGGCGGGUGCUAACGUCCGUCGUGAAGAGGGAAACAACCCAGACCGCCAGCUAAGGUCCCAAAGUCAUGGUUAAGUGGGAAACGAUGUGGGAAGGCCCAGACAGCCAGGAUGUUGGCUUAGAAGCAGCCAUCAUUUAAAGAAAGCGUAAUAGCUCACUGGUCGAGUCGGCCUGCGCGGAAGAUGUAACGGGGCUAAACCAUGCACCGAAGCUGCGGCAGCGACGCUUAUGCGUUGUUGGGUAGGGGAGCGUUCUGUAAGCCUGUGAAGGUGUGCUGUGAGGCAUGCUGGAGGUAUCAGAAGUGCGAAUGCUGACAUAAGUAACGAUAAAGCGGGUGAAAAGCCCGCUCGCCGGAAGACCAAGGGUUCCUGUCCAACGUUAAUCGGGGCAGGGUGAGUCGACCCCUAAGGCGAGGCCGAAAGGCGUAGUCGAUGGGAAACAGGUUAAUAUUCCUGUACUUGGUGUUACUGCGAAGGGGGGACGGAGAAGGCUAUGUUGGCCGGGCGACGGUUGUCCCGGUUUAAGCGUGUAGGCUGGUUUUCCAGGCAAAUCCGGAAAAUCAAGGCUGAGGCGUGAUGACGAGGCACUACGGUGCUGAAGCAACAAAUGCCCUGCUUCCAGGAAAAGCCUCUAAGCAUCAGGUAACAUCAAAUCGUACCCCAAACCGACACAGGUGGUCAGGUAGAGAAUACCAAGGCGCUUGAGAGAACUCGGGUGAAGGAACUAGGCAAAAUGGUGCCGUAACUUCGGGAGAAGGCACGCUGAUAUGUAGGUGAAGUCCCUUGCGGAUGGAGCUGAAAUCAGUCGAAGAUACCAGCUGGCUGCAACUGUUUAUUAAAAACACAGCACUGUGCAAACACGAAAGUGGACGUAUACGGUGUGACGCCUGCCCGGUGCCGGAAGGUUAAUUGAUGGGGUCAGCGCAAGCGAAGCUCUUGAUCGAAGCCCCGGUAAACGGCGGCCGUAACUAUAACGGUCCUAAGGUAGCGAAAUUCCUUGUCGGGUAAGUUCCGACCUGCACGAAUGGCGUAAUGAUGGCCAGGCUGUCUCCACCCGAGACUCAGUGAAAUUGAACUCGCUGUGAAGAUGCAGUGUACCCGCGGCAAGACGGAAAGACCCCGUGAACCUUUACUAUAGCUUGACACUGAACAUUGAGCCUUGAUGUGUAGGAUAGGUGGGAGGCUUUGAAGUGUGGACGCCAGUCUGCAUGGAGCCGACCUUGAAAUACCACCCUUUAAUGUUUGAUGUUCUAACGUUGACCCGUAAUCCGGGUUGCGGACAGUGUCUGGUGGGUAGUUUGACUGGGGCGGUCUCCUCCUAAAGAGUAACGGAGGAGCACGAAGGUUGGCUAAUCCUGGUCGGACAUCAGGAGGUUAGUGCAAUGGCAUAAGCCAGCUUGACUGCGAGCGUGACGGCGCGAGCAGGUGCGAAAGCAGGUCAUAGUGAUCCGGUGGUUCUGAAUGGAAGGGCCAUCGCUCAACGGAUAAAAGGUACUCCGGGGAUAACAGGCUGAUACCGCCCAAGAGUUCAUAUCGACGGCGGUGUUUGGCACCUCGAUGUCGGCUCAUCACAUCCUGGGGCUGAAGUAGGUCCCAAGGGUAUGGCUGUUCGCCAUUUAAAGUGGUACGCGAGCUGGGUUUAGAACGUCGUGAGACAGUUCGGUCCCUAUCUGCCGUGGGCGCUGGAGAACUGAGGGGGGCUGCUCCUAGUACGAGAGGACCGGAGUGGACGCAUCACUGGUGUUCGGGUUGUCAUGCCAAUGGCACUGCCCGGUAGCUAAAUGCGGAAGAGAUAAGUGCUGAAAGCAUCUAAGCACGAAACUUGCCCCGAGAUGAGUUCUCCCUGACCCUUUAAGGGUCCUGAAGGAACGUUGAAGACGACGACGUUGAUAGGCCGGGUGUGUAAGCGCAGCGAUGCGUUGAGCUAACCGGUACUAAUGAACCGUGAGGCUUAACCUU